GCGGCAGGCCUUAUACAUGCAAGUCGAGGGGCAGCAUUUACUUCGGUAAAUGGCGACCGGCGAACGGGUGCGUAACGCGUAUGCAACCUACCUUUAACUGGGGCAUAGCUCGAAGAAAUUCGAAUUAAUUCCCCAUAGUACAAUAAUAUCGCAUGAUAUAAUUGUUAAAGAUUUAUCGGUUAAAGAUGGGCAUGCGUCUGAUUAGUUUGUUGGUGAGGUAAUGGCUCACCAAGGCUACGAUCAGUAGGGGUUCUGAGAGGAUGAUCCCCCACAUUGGUACUGAGACACGGACCAGACUUCUACGGAAGGCAGCAGUAAGGAAUAUUGGGCAAUGGGCGAAAGCCUGACCCAGCCAUGCCGCGUGCAGGAUUGAAGACCUUAUGGGUUGUAAACUGCUUUUAUAUAGGAAGAAAAAACUCUUGCGAGAGUAACUGACGGUACUAUAUGAAUAAGGACCGGCUAACUCCGUGCCAGCAGCCGCGGUAAUACGGAGGGUUCAAGCGUUAUCCGGAUUUAUUGGGUUUAAAGAGUGCGUAGGUGGUUUAUUAAGUCAGUGGUGAAAUCCUACAGCUCAACUGUAGAACUGCCAUUGAUACUGGUAAACUUGAGUUUGGCUGAGGUAAGCGGAAUUUAUGAUGUAGCGGUGAAAUGCAUAGAUAUCAUAAGGAACACCAAUAGCGUAGGCAGCUUACUAGACCAAUACUGACACUGAGGCACGAAAGCGUGGGUAGCGAACAGGAUUAGAUACCCUGGUAGUCCACGCCGUAAACGAUGCUCACUCGAUGUUAGCGAUAUACUGUUAGCGUCCAAGCUAAAGCGUUAAGUGAGCCACCUGGGUAGUACGCCG
rnacentral:rRNA from 1 species